GACGAACGCUGGCGGUGUGCUUAACACAUGCCAGUCGAACGGUAAGGCCCUUUCGGGGGUACACGAGUGGCGAACGGGUGAGUAACACGUGAGUAACCUGCCCUCAUCUCUGGGAUAACAGUCGGAAACGGUUGCUAAUACUGGAUAUGAGCUUGCAAGGCAUCUUGUGGGUUGGAAAGAUUUUUUUGGUUGGGGAUGGACUCGCGGCCUAUCAGCUUGUUGGUGAGGUAGUGGCUCACCAAGGCUUCGACGGGUAGCCGGCCUGAGAGGGCGACCGGCCACAUUGGGACUGAGAUACGGCCCAAACUCCUACGGGAGGCAGCAGUGGGGAAUAUUGCACAAUGGACGGAAGUCUGAUGCAGCAACGCCGCGUGCGGGAUGACGGCCUUCGGGUUGUAAACCGCUUUCAAUUGUGACGAAGCUUUUUGUGACGGUAGCAGUAGAAGAAGCACCGGCUAACUACGU
rnacentral:rRNA from 1 species